GCCCAGGAAAUGUCACGGGAAUUUUGGGA
rnacentral:piRNA from 1 species